CAGGCUCCCAGAGCCAAGGCAGUGACUGGCCAGAGCCUCCCCAUUUAGGGGUACUGACCUGAGUGCCAUCUACCCGUCAAAGUGCUUGAGCCACAACAACAACCCCUGAACGUGAGGCUGAUUAAAGAGGGUUACGUGAACUGCCGAAUUAAGCCGUCCAAAAUUGGAUAAAGUGAUUGUGAAAUCUGUUUUGAGUCAACCUAUACAUGUCUCAUUGCAGGAAAAUGUCUCGGUGUGGCUAGUUUACUCCCAGCGAAGAGGAAUGUCUGGAUUCUCCUCUAAGCCCUUUGCACAAAGUGCAGAAGCUGUCUCAUCCCUUCCUGACCAAGCACAUGACUCCGACCAGAUUCUGCUAGAAUUCAAGCAUAGGUGAGGUGACAUGGAUAGGCAGCUGCCACUUUCCACCCACGAAGAAACCCUGAGGAUGAAAACUACCCAGGAACACUGCAUGACAACUGCAG
rnacentral:lncRNA from 1 species